UACGGAGGGUGCAAGCGUUGUCCGGAUUCAUUGGGUUUAAAGGGUGCGCAGGCGGGACAUUAAGUCAGGGGUGAAAGACGGUUGCUCAACAAUCGCAGUGCCUUUGAUACUGGUGUUCUUGGGUGACCUUGAGGUAGGCGGAAUGGGUGGUGUAGCGGUGAAAUGCAUAGAUACCACCCAGAACUCCGAUUGCGAAGGCAGCCUACUGGAGGUUUACCGACGCUCAGGCACGAAAGCGCGGGGAGCGAACAGG
rnacentral:rRNA from 1 species